CAAAAACACAACCAGGAAUUCCUGUUUCCUUGGAUAGUUCGUCGUCUCUUAAACCUCGCCACUGAGAUGGAAGGGCUUUCCUGCUCUCAAAUCUGUCAGGAGCUACAGCCACCGCUUGCACUCGCCAACCUUUGCUCCUAUCAUCCUCGUAUAGAACAUAUUUGAUGGGUGGAUCAAUCUUCAUCUCUCCUUCCAGCUCAAACAAAUGAAGCUUCCAUGGACAAAAUGUAGACCAAACAACAAUCUCUCCACUAGGAUCAAUCUUGUGUCUUGCAGAAACGCACUCCAAUACGAUAGAACGAGCUGGUAACCAUGAUCUUGCAUAAUAGCGGACACUAUCCAAGAACUCACUGCCAGCUAAAUCCAUUGCACGUUGGAAAGCUUCAUUCUCCCGUUCAGAAGACUGAUCAGGUUCAGUCCAAUCCAAGUUAAAUCUUCCAACUCGAGAGGACAAGUGGGUAUUGUUUACAUAUCUAGGUGGCUGAUCUGUAUCGUACUGAUUGAUUCCAUUAUCGAUUGCAUCAAUUGCCUCCAUGAAGCUCUUGUAAACAGCUAGAAACAACUUAUGCACGUCCGGGUGUUCUUCGUCAACUUGGAGCUCCUUUGCAAUGAUCUCCUUCCCAAAAUGCUUGUAAACAAGACCAGCACUGCUAAGCUUAGUAGUAAAUCCAUAUCCAAAGACUUCUUCAAACCCUUUUUGGUGAUGAUCAUAACGGUCUCGACUAGGAUCAUAAACUCCACCAACAUCUAGCACAGCAUCAAGCGUUUCCAAUACCUGGUUAUCACGAGUACGCACAAUCUCAGCAUUGUAAUACUUGUUUGUAAGACGAAUCAUGAAGCACCCAAGAGCUUCAUCACAGUGAAAGCUACCAUGGUGAGUACCUACUCGCUUAGGGGAAACAUGGUUUGAAGGGGAAGAUACAGGUGAAAAAGACGAAGAAUUAGCAGUAGCCAUUAGAGAGAAUGCGAGAGGACUUUGGUGUUUAAGGAAGUUGAAGGUGAAGAGUUUAGGGUUUUGG
rnacentral:misc_RNA from 1 species